GUGCCAGCCGCCGCGGUAACACCGGCAGCCCGAGUGAUGUCCGAUAUUAUUGGGCCUAAAGCGUCCGUAGCUGGCCGCGCAAGUUCGUCGGGAAAUCCACUCGCUUAACGAGUGGGCGUCCGGCGAAAACUGUGCGGCUUGGGACCGGAAGAUCCGAGGGGUACGUCUGGGGUAGGAGUGAAAUCCCGUAAUCCUGGACGGACCACCGAUGGCGAAAGCACCGCGGAAGGACGGAUCCGACAGUGAGGGACGAAAGCGAGGGUCUCGAACCGGAUUAGAAACCGUGUAGUCC
rnacentral:rRNA from 1 species